ensembl:misc_RNA
CAAACAGCCCUGGAGACUGAAGUCCACUAUUCAACCACAGAAUGAGUGCAGCGUGGCAGGCUAGGCACACACAGUGCCACCAGUGUGUGUCUGUCCUUACCUGGAGGAAACAGCUCUAGUAGUUAGUGGAGGAGCUUGAUUUCCGUGGGCCAUUCGAUCUUCAGCCUCU